rnacentral:rRNA from 1 species
CCUAUCAGCUUGUUGGUGGGGUAAUGGCCUACCAAGGCGACGACGGGUAGCCGGCCUGAGAGGGUGAUCGGCCACACUGGGACUGAGACACGGCCCAGACUCCUACGGGAGGCAGCAGUGGGGAAUAUUGCACAAUGGGCGGAAGCCUGAUGCAGCGACGCCGCGUGGGGGAUGACGGUCUUCGGAUUGUAAACCCCUUUCAGUAGGGACGAAGCGCAAGUGACGGUACCUGCAGAAGAAGCACCGG